GACGAACGCUGGCGGCGUGCUUAACACAUGCAAGUCGAACGGAAAGGCCCCUUUGGGGGUCCUCGAGUGGCGAACGGGUGAGUAACACGUGAGUAACCUGCCCUUGACUUCGGGAUAACUUCAGGAAACUGGGGCUAAUACCGGAUAGGAAUCCUUGCUGCAUGGUGGGGGUUGGAAAGCUUCGGCGGUUUUGGAUGGACUCGCGGCUUAUCAGCUUGUUGGUGGGGUAGUGGCUUACCAAGGCUUUGACGGGUAGCCGGCCUGAGAGGGCGACCGGCCACAUUGGGACUAAGAUACGGCCCAGACUCCUACGGGAGGCAGCAGUGGGGAAUAUUGCACAAUGGGCGGAAGCCUGAUGCAGCAACGCCGCGUGCGGGAUGACGGCCUUCGGGUUGUAAACCGCUUUCAGCAGGGGCGAAGCUUGUGGUGACGGUACCUGCAGAAGAAGCACCGGCUAACUACGUG
rnacentral:rRNA from 1 species